AGAGAGAGACAUGCGCGCAUAUCAAUAAGCGGAGGAAAAGAAACUAACAAGGAUUUCCCCUAGUAACGGCGAGUGAAGCGGGAAGAGCUCAAAUUUGAAAUCUUAAAGGGUUUCCCUUUACGAAUUGUAGUUUAAAGAAGUGUUUUCUGUUGAGGUUUUGGUAAAAGUUCUUUGGAAUAGGACAUCAUAGAGGGUGAGAAUCCCGUAUUUGACCUUUACUUUCAACUUUGUGAUACACUUUCAAAGAGUCGGAUUGUUUGGGAAUGCAGUCCAAAAUGGGUGGUAAAUUUCAUCUAAAGCUAAAUAUUGGCGAGAGACCGAUAGCGAACAAGUACCGUGAGGGAAAGAUGAAAAGAACUUUGAAAAGAGAGUUAAACAGUACGUGAAAUUGUCAAAAGGGAAGCGUUUGACACCAGUGUUGUUUUUCUGAAAAUCAAUUAAAGAACUGUUUAUGCUAAGUUGUUUAGACUUUAUCAGCUAACUGUUUAGUUUUGAGCUUUUCUUUAAUGCACUUUUCAGUUAACAAGUCAACAUCAAUUUCUUUUGCUGUAAAAAAGCUUGAGGAAGGUGGCUUGAGAUUCGUCUUAAGUGUUUAUAGCCUCUUGCCUAUGCAGUCGGAGAGAUUGAGGUCUGCAGCGUAGAUCCUUCGGGGCUAAAUGCAUUUGUGCUAAGUUAUAGCAUUUAUAGACAACUUGUUGACUAUGAUUUGUCUUGUAGCUUACUCGCUUAUGUUAUUUUACCUACGCUUAGGAUGUUGACGCAUGAGAUAUACGC
rnacentral:rRNA from 1 species